UUCAACGAGGCCGAGCGGUUAAGGCGAGUGACUCGAAUGGAUAACUACUGACUCAGAGAGUCUCUUAUGCGCAGGUUCGAGUCCUGCCGUUGUCG